rnacentral:lncRNA from 1 species
GGUGAGUCUGCAGCUUAUUAGUGCUGUGCUAUCACCAAUUAGGUGUUGAGCACUCAGGGGCUGCAGCCACUCAAGCAUGGACAAGGAAGUGAUAAAGAAUGAGCCGGGAGGGGCCGCCAUGCAGCAGGAAGCUGCACGUGGGUGACUGGAGUUCCUGAUGAGGAAGUGAUAAAGAGCGAGCGAGCUAGCAGGGGCCGCCAUGCAGCAGCAAGCUGCACAUGCACAACUGGAGUUCAAAGGUGAGAUGGGCACUAGAAGUACGGAUCCCGGACACGUGGAUUUAGAGAAAGGAGAACAGAAAACCAGAAAAAAUCCUGUCCGUGUCCUGAGAGACACCAUCGUCUGAGUACAGAUGUUGACGGAAGUUGACCUUCGACCAAAACCUGUGCAUUCAGAAAGUACCGACCACAGCUUCCUCCCUGCAGAUGACUGUAGCCUGACACUGCUCCCUCACAGAGACCACCUAUGGAGAUAAGCUGAGCCAUCUCUUCAUCCGUGCUGUAUAUCAUAAACACAUUGAGCUUCAGGACUACUGCUUGUAUGUCUCCAUCUGAGUACAUGGCCACUGGGUCCCAGCCUUACAUAAUUUAUAUCUAUCUUAUUCUUCAUGGCCCCCAGUCUGAUCAAGACCAAAGCCAUGUGGGUUUCUGCGGGAAGUCCUUUCUAAAGGGAGUCAAGGGUGGUAGCAUACUGAUAAUAUUGACAGAUGAUCACCAUUCCUAAGCAUGAUCAAUCCACCUCCUGCCUUCUAGACUCAGUGAUGGGGGAGAAGGCCAGGGCUCCUCUGGCAUCAGAUAAUCAGGAAGGGGUUUGAGAUAGCUGCCUUGUGUUUCCAGGCCAGUCCAUCUCAAAAUAAAG